rnacentral:rRNA from 1 species
UACAGAGGGGGCAAGCGUUGUUCGGAAUUACUGGGCGUAAAGGGCGCGUAGGCGGCCCGCUAAGUCGAACGUGAAAUCCCCGAGCUCAACUCGGGAACUGCGUCCGAUACUGGCGGGCUUGAAUCCGGGAGAGGGAUGCGGAAUUCCAGGUGUAGCGGUGAAAUGCGUAGAUAUCGAGAGGAACACCUGCGGCGAAGGCGGGUUGCUGGGCUGACACUGACGCUGAUGCGCGAAAGCUAGGGGAGCGAACGGG